UCCCUGGUGGUCCAGUGGCUAGGGCUCUGUGCUCCCAAUGCAGGGACUCUGGGUUCAAUCCCCUGUCAGGGAA
rnacentral:tRNA from 1 species